GAUUGGGACAUGGUAUGCCUGGGGAAGAGAAGUAAUGGUAGUGUGGUGCUAAGCUCUCUGGCAGAGUAAGGGGCCAGGUGGUCAGGGAAGCAGACCUGGGGUUACUGCUCAAAGAAGGGUACAGAGCUGACUAGAAGUGGGAAGCUACCAGGAGUAGAAGCACAUGAGACUCUUGGGAAGGGUGGUCCUAAAACCUGAGAGAAAAGGAAUGAGUUUGUUUGUUUGCUUGCCUGUUUUAAGAGGAUAAACCUUCUGAAAUGAGACUGGACAUGCCAGUGGGUGUUUGGAAGCUGCUGGAAGAACUCUUCUGGUGGUCUGAGCUGAAAGGCAGAGCUCAGUCCUGAAGACUCCAGCAAUAACAUUGGAUCGCCUCCGAAUUCCAUGAGUAAAGAAUUUGGAGAGAAACUGCUAAUAGAAAGAAAAUGAUUAGUCGUUAGGGCACUCUCUUUGGAUGUGGAAGACCCAAGUUCAAUUUCCCCCCUGUCUGAUGUGGAGAAGUGAUGUAAAGUUUUAUCUCCCAUCUCUCAGGUAGCCUGCUACAGUAUCCACAUCCACUGCAAAAGGUCAAACUCUCUCUCUUUUUCUCAUUCCACUUUUCUGGAAAAUCCCAACAAGUUGAUAACCUUCAAAACACUUCAAAAAUACACUAACCAGUCUAUUAUUUUCCCAUCUUGUCACGGCCAAAGACAAAGGAAAAUUGCUGCUAGGAAGGCUGGGAUUAGUUUCUGAUACUUUAUCAUGAAGGGCAGUGCAAUAUGACCAUAGGGGAACUAUGGAAAUGACCCUUCCAGAAUUUUUCUUGAGCUAUUUCCUUGAAGACCCCAAAGGAUAAAGCAGUGGCUGUCUAUCCUAAAAUCUAAUGAAGCCAUGAAGUGCAAGAACUGAAAUGUAACAGAACCAGGGAAGAUUACUAUAUUGACCAUUUCAGCCACAAACUUGCUGUUGACAAUGACAACAGAUGGCAGGAUCCAGUUUGGAUAAAAUAGGAUCUCACCUAAACUUUCACCCAAAACUUAAAUCAAUUUUUUGUAUGAAGUUCAAAGUUCAAAAAGUGUCUUUUUCUUUAUUUAUUUGUUUUCCAGUUUUAGGCAGAUCUAUUAUUAUUAGAAGUGCCAAAAUAUCACAGUUGUUCUAACUGUUCUUCAUGUUCAAAUGGAAAUGUGAAUUAACAGAAAUCCUAGUUGUGAGCAUUCCAACUCGAUAUUACAGGUUCCAGAAUUCAAAUCGUGCAAAUAAAGCUCAUAUCAUUAUCCAAA